rnacentral:rRNA from 1 species
CCCGGUUUAAGCGUGUAGGGGGUGUGACCUGGUAAAUCCGGUUACAUAUCAACCCUGAGGCGUGAUGACGAUGCACUACGGUGCAGAAGUAGUUGAUGCCCUGCUUCCAGGAAAAGCCUCUAAGCUCCAGGUAACAUUAAAUCGUACCCCAAACCGACACAGGUGGUCAGGUAGAGAAUACCAAGGCGCUUGAGAGAACUCGGGUGAAGGAACUAGGCAAAAUGGUGCCGUAACUUCGGGAGAAGGCACGCUGGC